CUGGGAAUGCAGAAGACAGAAAGAUGAUCAGCUGGAAACAAACUGAAGGAGUGUGUUGGCUAGCAACACAUAAUGAGAGUAGGGGCAGGCUUCUGACCUUGAUGGUGGCGGAGCCGCAUUCUCUCGCAUAAUCUGUCAGUUCUCUCUCUCUCUUACAGGAGACCAGCCUGUCUGGGAAAAAGUCACUUAGCUACCAAUGCCUCUGAGCAUACGGCCAAAUUCCCCCAACCUCCUCUCUGAUCAGCUUCUGCCUCUUUUUGUAACACUAAGUGGGUUGGGGAAGCCCCUGGAGGCUGAGGGCUGUCAUAGGCCAUCUGUGUGAGGACUCCCAGGGGCUGAGGGAGCUGUGAGGAGGGACGUAGAGACUGGGCUGACACCAGGUGCUUACCAUUAUCAUCGCUUACGAUGAAGAUGUAAAAGAGGUGCCACAUAUGGACUGGAGGUUCCAUCCCAGCUGCCGCUUCCUGCCAUCCACCCUGGCUCUUCUCUGGAACAGCCAUCUCCGGACCUGUCCUGGAAGUUCGCACACUUCUGCAUUUGCCUUUGUCAUCGUAAGGCUAAUGCUGGGAAACGUGCUCACGUCUUGAUUGUAUUUAUGCUGUGUCUAAUUUUAGUUCUAUUGUACCAAAAUGACUGACAUGGGUUUAAUUGCUUGAUCCAAUAGAUGCUGGUGCAUCAGACCAACAGAAGCUUGCUCUUACCGUUAUUAACCUGAUAUAUUCUGACUAAUUCACAGAAUGAGGGAGAGUAUGUUUUCUUCUUACAGCACAUCCUGCUCAGUGACUGUGUCAUCACCAAACAUUUAAAAAGAGUCCGUUAUGUUAAAAAUAUUAUGCUAACCACCGAGAACACAAAGAGGUGUGGACACAGUCACUGACCUUCAGGGUACUGACAGGUUGUGCAACAGGUCACUUUACAAACAAGACCAGAGGACAGCAUAUGAAAAACAGUGAGCAAGGCCACAGGUACUAGGCGCUUGGAGUCUGGGGCCCCAGACUUGCUUCCAUAUUUAAAUGUCGGCACUCACUUUGCUGCCAGUGACUCUCAUCUUAUUUCUCACAUGCGGACUCGACACAGCAUGAGGGGCAGGCAGGUGGGGAGGUGGCAGCAAAACAAGAAUGCAUGGUUCUGACCUCAAGAAGCCUGAG
rnacentral:lncRNA from 1 species